AAAAAGUAGAAAGCUUGCGGGUCUUAAACAUGCAAGUCGAACGAACCUUCGGGUUAGUGGCGGACGGGUGAGUAACGCGUGAGAAUCUGCCCUCAGGAGGGGGAUAACGGUUGGAAACGACCGCUAAUACCCCAUAUGCCUACUGGUGAAAUGAAUUUCGCCUGAGGAUGAGCUCGCGUCUGAUUAGCUAGUUGGUGAGGUAAUGGCUCACCAAGGCUUCGAUCAGUAGCUGGUCUGAGAGGAUGAUCAGCCACACUGGGACUGAGACACGGCCCAGACUCCUACGGGAGGCAGCAGUGGGGAAUUUUCCGCAAUGGGCGAAAGCCUGACGGAGCAACGCCGCGUGAGGGACGAAGGCCUCUGGGCUGUAAACCUCUUUUCUCAAGGAAGAAGAUAUGACGGUACUUGAGGAAUAAGCCACGGCUAAUUCCGUGCCAGCAGCCGCGGUAAUACGGGAGUGGCAAGCGUUAUCCGGAAUUAUUGGGCGUAAAGCGUCCGCAGGCGGCUUUUCAAGUCUGCUGUUAAAGCGUGGAGCUUAACUCCAUCAUGGCAGUGGAAACUGAAAGGCUUGAGUAUGGUAGGGGCAGAGGGAAUUCCCGGUGUAGCGGUGAAAUGCGUAGAUAUCGGGAAGAACACCAGUGGCGAAGGCGCUCUGCUGGGCCAUUACUGACGCUCAUGGACGAAAGCCAGGGGAGCGAAAGGGAUUAGAUACCCCUGUAGUCCUGGCCGUAAACGAUGAACACUAGGUGUCGGGGGAAUCGACCCCUUCGGUGUCGUAGCUAACGCGUUAAGUGUUCCGCCUGGGGAGUACGCACGCAAGUGUG
rnacentral:rRNA from 1 species